CCCCUCCAUGAUGCCGCCGUCUAUUUCCACCCUGUCCCCGUCCAUGGCUGGCGGCCAGGGGAGCUGUUUUUCGCGGAAGCCCCCGCCGCACAGAUGGGAUCCGGGCCGUGCCCUGGGGACAGCGAGAACCCGGCGGAGCAGCGUACGCGGGAAGAGUAACGCGCCGCAGGGUGCCGGUGCCUGUGCCGAGGGACGGCAGAGCAGGCGCAGAGCGGAGCCUCCCGCCCGCAGUGCGUUGGGGGCGGCACCGCCGCGUGAGGCGCCGCGUAGCGGGAGGGGCUGGAGCCAUCCCGCCGUGCUAGAGGGCCCGGCGCGGCCCGGCCCGGCACAGAGCUUCGCACCGGGUUCGUGGCCGCCCGAGUCAGGAAAGCGGCCGGACUGUAGCAGAGGGGCCCGUUACAAGAAACGCGGAGAAACACGCGGAUGUCGGUCUGUCCGUCACACGGAGGUUUAUUACAGUGCGCCGGGAACGGCCGGGCCCGUAACGCUACCCGCGCGCCUUUGCCUCCAAGAGACGCUGCCCUCGCUCCGCCUGCGGCUUUCCUACGGGACUCCGACAGGUGUCCUGUUUUCUGGCUCAUCUGAGAAGAUAAUUUCUAAAUUUUACAGUUUUGAGCUACUGGAGGUUUGUGUUCACCACGUUAGAUCGUGCAGCAGCAUUCGCUUUAUAAAAUCAAAAUAUGCGUGUGUGUUUGACAAAUCUGCCUUCAAGUUUAGUCAUCAACAGCGAUUAUUCAGAACAUCUGCUGUUUCACAUGGCCAAAUCGUCCAGUUUAAGCUUUCUGAUAUUGGAGAAGGUAUUACAGAGGUGACUGUGAAAGAAUGGUAUAUAAAAGAAGGUGAUAGCGUUUCUCAAUUUGAUAGUAUCUGUGAGGUGCAAAGUGAUAAAGCUUCUGUUACUAUUACAAGUCGUUAUGAUGGCAUCAUUAGAAAACUCCAUUACAAUUUAGAUGAUAUUGCUUAUGUUGGAAAACCGCUUGUGGACAUUGAAAUUGAUGCUUCAAAAGGUGUUGCCCCAGAAGAAGAUGUUGUUGAAACACCAGCUAUGUCUCAUGAAGAACACACACACCAAGAGAUAAAAGGUCACAAAACAUUAGCAACACCUGCAGUUCGUCGUCUUGCUAUGGAAAACAAUAUUAAAUUGAGUGAAGUUAUUGGAACAGGGAAAGAUAACAGAAUCCUUAAGGAAGACAUUCUCAAUUUUUUGGCCAAACAAACGGGAGCUAUCCUACCUCCAUCACCAAAGGCUGAAAUUAUUGCACCAUUGCCAAAGUCAGAGACAGUGCCAACUGCUCCAAAGGACAAAGCGCGCAAAAUUCCAGUACCUAUUUCCAGACACGUUGCAUUUUCAGGAAAAGAUAAAACUGAACCUAUAACAGGUUUUCACAAGGCAAUGGUAAAGACUAUGAGUGCAGCCUUAAAGAUCCCUCACUUUGGUUAUUGUGAUGAGAUUGACUUGACUCACCUUGUUCAGUUGCGAGAAGAGCUAAAACCUUCAGCACAAAGUCGUGGAAUUAAGCUUUCCUUUAUGCCUUUCUUCAUAAAGGCAGCUUCUAUGGGAUUAUUGCAGUAUCCCAUUCUUAAUGCUUCUUUGGAUGAAAACUGUCAAAACAUCACUUAUAAGGCUUCACACAACAUUGGAGUUGCUAUGGACACAGAACAAGGUUUAAUUGUCCCAAAUGUGAAAAAUGUUCAAGUCAGUAGUAUCUUUGAGAUUGCUUCUGAAUUAAAUCGCCUACAAGCCUUGGGUUCUGCCGGCCAACUGGGAACAAAUGACCUCACUGGGGGAACCUUCACCCUUUCAAAUAUUGGCACAAUUGGUGGUACUUAUGCCAAAGCUGUGAUACUACCUCCUGAAGUCGCUAUUGGAGCACUUGGAAAGAUACAGGUUCUUCCUCGGUUUAAUGGAAAAGGUGAAGUAUUUAAAGCACAGAUAAUGAACGUGAGCUGGUCAGCUGAUCACCGCAUUAUUGAUGGAGCUACAAUGGCCCGUUUUUCUAACCUGUGGAAAUCUUAUUUGGAGAACCCUGCUUCGAUGCUGCUAGACCUUAAAUGAAGGAAAUCCUGGCUAGAAUAUGCCUUUAAACUGUGUUAGACUGAAUAACUACAAAAGCUGGCUUUGCUAGCACAUGCCCUUUGCUACUCAUGUUAUAUAAUAAUUUUAUGUGGUUAAAAGUUCUCAACAGCUUAUAUCAGUCUAUCAAUUAACUGUUUCUUCUUUUAAUUAAUAGUGCUGUAAUUUCUUCUACAGCAGGCUGUCAGUAGGUCAUGGCACAACUGCUGAAUAUGGUGAUGGGUCAUCUUUAUUUUACUUUCUGUAAUACAUACGAUUGUAAGACUGGUGUAAAUGAAUCACUGAUCUACAUCUGUAGUAUUUUUAAACAGAUUAACUAAUUUUGAAGGGAAAAACGCACAGUUCUUCUUUGUUGGAAACAUAGAUUUAUCUUAACCGAUAGUAUCAAAAUUCCCAAAAGAAGUUAUGCAAAAUUAAAUGCAAAUAAAAUGCCUAUUAUGCUUCUGCUGUAAGAUGUCCAGAGAGCUUUUUGUUGUUUAACAGAGUUAAACUCUCAAGUCUUCUGCUAGUCUACUUUUUCCUGGCAUUACUUGCACAGGUACUUUAUCAAAUGAUAAAGGAAGAAGGCAUAUUUAUUCAAAUACUUACUGAUAACAUUUGCUGAUAACUAUCAGGGCCUUAAAACUCUCUAGAAUAUACUGCAUUUUUAUAGGCUGGAAGUAGUUACAGUCCUUAAAUUCCGUUAUUUUUGUUUCUUAUAGAAAGCAUCUAUUUGUAGAAAAGGAGGAUCUCAUCAGUUAUUGUGACAUCAAAUAAGUCUGACAGUAAACAGAAUGUAUUCUUAAAAUUUGCACCAUCGUAUAUUUUUGAUGUUCAGUUACUAGAAUAUGACAGGUUAAUCUGAUACAACUAAGAAUUAGUAUUUAAAAAAAUAUUAUGUGGAAUAACUGAUAAAAGGCAAAUAAUGAAAAGGUUCAAAUUAACGUCUUCAGAACAGAUGAUAAUUGUGCUGCUUGAAGGUAAACUUAAGAGAUUAUGAGGAUUGUAGUGGUUAUUCCGUAGGAGUUACAAAGAAAAUGGUUGGUUAUAAAUGCCUUCUAGAAACAUAAGCUGGAAAUAGACACAAGAAAAAACAGUUGCAUGGCCUUAAAAAUUAAUUUGCAAAUUGGACACUUUCUCCUUUCUUUAGAUAAAUCAAAAACUAUCUUUACAGGAACAUUCACCAGUAUUGUAGACCAAAGUAGCCUGAUGUGUUUAGCUGCAAACAUGCAAGACGUAAGCUACCAAGGUAAAAUCUCUGCUACCCUUGAUGCUGUGACUGAGCAAGAGGAAAGGUGGUAAUGUAGGAAAUCCUGUACAGGUGGAUCCAUCUUCUACUUAUUGUAAAGAACGUACUGCACUUGAGACUACUAAAAGAACGCAGCCUAAUGGCUACUCUCCUACAAGUAUGUUACUGUGGUAAGGGCUUAAUCUGAAUAGUAUAUUUUUUUAGCCUUAUGGCCAUGCAAAAAAUAAGUUGAGGAAACAAAAGUGUAUGAUAGAAAGUGAUAAAGUGAUCUUGAAAUAUUUUAGAGAAGAAUUUGCUCACAGAAGAAGCUUGAAAUUUCUUUAACUCUCAGAGACCCAGUAAAAGGAAAGGUAAAACUUAUUUUUGCCUUACUCUAAUUAUCCGUCACUCUCAAGAGAGCAGAGCUUCUAUUUAUAUUAAAAAUAAAUAAAUAAAUACUGUGGGUAUUGAACCUCUACCAAAACUGAAAGAAGCAAUACCUAUACCGAAGAGGUCACUUUUACUUUUGCAUAACUUUCUCCUUUGCUUCUAACGCAUUCCCUCCCCACACAUAAAAAAUGUGCCCUUGAAGACUAAAAGCUAAAGCAGUUAGCGUCUUUUUAAUUAGGAAUUAUGUUCAGAUAGUUAGUGAUAGACUGGAGAGGGUAAGUUUUUUGUUUUUUAUUGUUACUGUUAUUGUUUACCUUCCAUUAUGAAGUUCUAUGUGGUAAUGGUAGAAUCUAAAUCAAGCUGAUAAUGACUGAAAACAUUUUCUACUACUAUGACCAAAUGAGUGUUAUUUUUUAAGUUUCAUCUUCAUAUUUUAUAUCCUUAUAGUGCAUUCCAGGUUAGAACGAGUCAGUUUUAUGACUUCUGUUUCAAACAGUGAUUUUAUGAUAAUUGUUGCCUGUCUCUUUCCAUCUGAGUGAAGAAAAAUGUAUUAAGCAUCAAUAAUAAUAACAAAGUUAAAAUGGUCUAAAUAGUCUGUCAAGUAACUUCUAAUACUUGUUGUUUACUGUGACAGUUGUUCUCCUUUUAUCUUCUCCAGUGUCUCUUUGAAGAAAUAGAAUGUUAAAAAUGUUUUAUGAUUGGAAGCAUGUAAAAGGGAGUGGUGAGCAAUAACCCCUCUGCAUACCAUGAUAAAAAUUACUUUUCUGCCUGGACUUUGACAAUUUACAUGGGAAUUCUUCAUCAUAAGCAAAAUCAGUGAAUAAAAUACUUAAUUAUGUAA